rnacentral:rRNA from 1 species
GACAUAGCGGUGGUAGGGAACCAAAGGGGACCGACCUUCGGGAGCCGUUACAGGUGCUGCAUGGCUGUCGUCAGCUCGUGCCGUGAGGUGUUCGGUUAAGUCCGGUAACGAGCGCAACCCUCGUCGCUAGUUACACGUUGUCUAGCGAGACUGCCCGUGAUAAGCGGGAGGAAGUGGGGAUGACGUCAAGUCAGCAUGGCCUUGAUGCCCAGGGCUACACACACGCUACAAUGGCCGGUACAAUGGGUCGCCAACCCGCAAGGGGGAGCCAAUCCAGCAAAGCCGGUCUCAGUUCGGAUUGCAGGCUGCAACCCGCCUGCAUGAAGUCGGAGUUGCUAGUAACCGCGCGUCAGCCAUAGUGCGGUGAAUACGUUCCCGGGGCUU